GGAGUUCUGGUCUAGUAUGAUUCUCGCUUCGGGUGCGAGAGGCCUCGAGUUCGAUUCUCGCUCGCAACUCCC
rnacentral:tRNA from 1 species